GGGUGUGACCAUACCAGCACUAACACACCGGAUCCCAUCAGAACUCCGAAGUGAAGCGUGCUUGGGCGAGAGUAGGACUAGGAUGGGUGACCCCCUGGGAAGUCCUCGUGUUGCCCCAC
rnacentral:rRNA from 1 species